rnacentral:rRNA from 1 species
GAGAUGUUGGGUUAAGUCCCGCAACGAGCGCAACCCUUGAUCUUAGUUGCCAUCAUUUAGUUGGGCACUCUAAGGUGACUGCCGGUGACAAACCGGAGGAAGGUGGGGAUGACGUCAAAUCAUCAUGCCCCUUAUGACCUGGGCUACACACGUGCUACAAUGGACGGUACAAAGAGCUGCAAGACCGCGAGGUGGAGCUAAUCUCAUAAAACCGUUCUCAGUUCGGAUUGUAGGCUGCAACUCGCCUACAUGAAGCUGGAAUCGCUAGUAAUCGCGGAUCAGCAUGCCGCGGUGAAUACGUUCCCGGGCCUUGUACACACCGCCCGUCACACCACGAGAGUUUGUAACACCCGAAGUCGGUGGGGUAACCUUUU